UGGAAACUCUUUUCCCAGCGGUAACUGUAC
rnacentral:piRNA from 1 species